rnacentral:rRNA from 1 species
UACGGAGGGUGCAAGCGUUGUCCGGAAUCACUGGGCGUAAAGGGUGCGUAGGCGGCUUCUUAAGUCUGGUGUGAAAUCUCCCGCUCAACUGGGAGGUGCGCGGAUACUGAGGGCGUAGAGUGUGGGAGAGGAAAGUGGAAUUCCUGGUGUAGCGGUGAAAUGCGUAGAUAUCAGGAGGAACACCGGUGGUGUAAACGGCUUCUGGACCAUAACUGACGCUGAGGCACGAAAGCGUGGGUAGCAAACAGG